rnacentral:rRNA from 1 species
UACGAAGGGUGCAAGCGUUAAUCGGAAUUACUGGGCGUAAAGGGUGCGUAGGCGGUUGGUUAAGUCUGUCGUGAAAUCCCGGGGCUCAACCUGGGAAUGGCGAUGGAUACUGGCGAGCUAGAGUGUGUCAGAGGAUAGUGGAAUUCCCGGUGUAGCGGUGAAAUGCGUAGAGAUCGGGAGGAACAUCAGUGGCGAAGGCGGCCCUCUGGGACAACACUGACGCUGAAGCACGAAAGCGUGGGGAGCAAACAGG